rnacentral:rRNA from 1 species
AGAGUUUGAUCCUGGCUCAGGAUGAACGCCCCUGGUGUGCCUAAUACAUGCAAGUCGUACGCACUGGCCCAACUGAUUGAUGGUGCUUGCACCUGAUUGACGAUGGAUCACCAGUGAGUGGCGGACGGGUGAGUAACACGUAGGUAACCUGCCCCGGAGCGGGGGAUAACAUUUGGAAACAGAUGCUAAUACCGCAUAACAACAAAAGCCACAUGGCUUUUGUUUGAAAGAUGGCUUUGGCUAUCACUCUGGGAUGGACCUGCGGUGCAUUAGCUAGUUGGUAAGGUAACGGCUUACCAAGGCGAUGAUGCAUAGCCGAGUUGAGAGACUGAUCGGCCACAAUGGAACUGAGACACGGUCCAUACUCCUACGGGAGGCAGCAGUAGGGAAUCUUCCACAAUGGGCGCAAGCCUGAUGGAGCAACACCGCGUGAGUGAAGAAGGGUUUCGGCUCGUAAAGCUCUGUUGUUGGAGAAGAACGUGCGUGAGAGUAACUGUUCACGCAGUGACGGUAUCCAACCAGAAAGUCACGGCUAACUACGUGCCAGCAGCCGCGGUAAUACGUAGGUGGCAAGCGUUAUCCGGAUUUAUUGGGCGUAAAGCGAGCGCAGGCGGUUGCUUAGGUCUGAUGUGAAAGCCUUCGGCUUAACCGAAGAAGUGCAUCGGAAACCGGGCGACUUGAGUGCAGAAGAGGACAGUGGAACUCCAUGUGUAGCGGUGGAAUGCGUAGAUAUAUGGAAGAACACCAGUGGCGAAGGCGGCUGUCUAGUCUGCAACUGACGCUGAGGCUCGAAAGCAUGGGUAGCAAACAGGAUUAGAUACCCUGGUAGUCCAUGCCGUAAACGAUGAGUGCUAGGUGUUGGAGGGUUUCCGCCCUUCAGUGCCGGAGCUAACGCAUUAAGCACUCCGCCUGGGGAGUACGACCGCAAGGUUGAAACUCAAAGGAAUUGACGGGGGCCCGCACAAGCGGUGGAGCAUGUGGUUUAAUUCGAAGCUACGCGAAGAACCUUACCAGGUCUUGACAUCUUGCGCUAACCUUAGAGAUAAGGCGUUCCCUUCGGGGACGCAAUGACAGGUGGUGCAUGGUCGUCGUCAGCUCGUGUCGUGAGAUGUUGGGUUAAGUCCCGCAACGAGCGCAACCCUUGUUACUAGUUGCCAGCAUUAAGUUGGGCACUCUAGUGAGACUGCCGGUGACAAACCGGAGGAAGGUGGGGACGACGUCAGAUCAUCAUGCCCCUUAUGACCUGGGCUACACACGUGCUACAAUGGACGGUACAACGAGUCGCAAGCUCGCGAGAGUAAGCUAAUCUCUUAAAGCCGUUCUCAGUUCGGACUGUAGGCUGCAACUCGCCUACACGAAGUCGGAAUCGCUAGUAAUCGCGGAUCAGCAUGCCGCGGUGAAUACGUUCCCGGGCCUUGCACUCAACGCCCGUCA